AACGAACGCUGGCGGCAGGCCUAACACAUGCAAGUCGAACGAGAACGCACCUUCGGGUGUUAGUAGAGUGGCGCACGGGUGAGUAACGCGUGGGAAUCUACCCAGUAGUACGGAAUAACCAAUGGAAACGCUGGCUAACACCGUAUACGCCCUGAGGGGGAAAAGUUUACUGCUAUUGGAUGAGCCCGCGUGACAUUAGGUAGUUGGUGGGGUAAUGGCCUACCAAGCCUACGAUGUCUAGCUGGUCUGAGAGGAUGAUCAGCCACACUGGAACUGAGACACGGUCCAGACUCCUACGGGAGGCAGCAGUGGGGAAUAUUGGGCAAUGGGCGAAAGCCUGACCCAGCCAUGCCGCGUGAGUGAUGAAGGCCUUAGGGUUGUAAAGCUCUUUCAUCUACGAGGAUAAUGACGGUAGUAGAAGAAGAAGCCCCGGCUAACUUCG
rnacentral:rRNA from 1 species